GACGGAAGGUGCAAGCGUUGUCCGGAAUUAUUGGGCGUAAAGAGCUCGUAGGCGGUUUGUUGCGUCUAUCGUGAAAACCUGCAGCUUAACUGUGGGCUUGCGGUGGAUACGGGCAGACUUGAGUUCGGUAGGGGAGACUGGAAUUCCUGGUGUAGCGGUGAAAUGCGCAGAUAUCAGGAGGAACACCGAUGGCGAAGGCAGGUCUCUGGGGCCACUACUGACGCUGAGAAGCGAAAAGCAUGGGGGAGCGAAACAGG
rnacentral:rRNA from 1 species